rnacentral:rRNA from 1 species
UUGAACGCUGGCGGCAGGCCUAACACAUGCAAGUCGAGCGGUAGAGAGAAGCUUGCUUCUCUUGAGAGCGGCGGACGGGUGAGUAACGCGUAGGAAUCUGCCCGGUAGUGGGGGAUAGCCCAGAGAAAUUUGGAUUAAUACCGCAUACGCCCUAAGGGGGAAAGCAGGGGAUCUUCGGACCUUGCGCUAUCGGAUGAGCCUGCGUGAGAUUAGCUUGUUGGUGAGGUAAUGGCUCACCAAGGCGACGAUCUCUAGCUGGUCUGAGAGGAUGAUCAGCCACACCGGAACUGAGACACGGUCCGGACUCCUACGGGAGGCAGCAGUGGGGAAUAUUGGACAAUGGGCGCAAGCCUGAUCCAGCCAUGCCGCGUGUGUGAAGAAGGCCUUCGGGUUGUAAAGCACUUUCAGUAGGGAGGAAAGGUUGUAAGCUAAUAUCUUGCAGCUGUGACGUUACCUACAGAAGAAGGACCGGCUAACUCCGU